CAGACUAGACUUUAAGAUAAGAUUUUCAUUUACAUUGAAAAGUGUUGUUGUGCAAUUCAACAUGGUUUGA
rnacentral:tRNA from 2 species